CAUCACUACGCUAGAUGCAUAUCAAUAAGCGGAGGAAAAGAAACUAACAUAGGAUUCCCUCAGUACGGCGAGUGAAGCGGGAAGAGCUCAAAUUUGAAAUCUUCAAGGUUCUACCUUGACGAAUUGUAGUUUAAAGAAGUGUUUUCUGUUGGAGUUUUGGUAAAAGUUCUUUGGAAUAGGACAUCAUAGAGGGUGAGGAAUCCCGUAUUUGACCAUUAUUUCCAACUGUGUGAUACACUUUCAAAGAGUCGGAUUGUUUGGGAAUGCAGUCCAAAAUGGGUGGUAAAUUUCAUCUAAAGCUAAAUAUUGGCGAGAGACCGAUAGCGAACAAGUACCGUGAGGGAAAGAUGAAAAGAACUUUGAAAAGAGAGUUAAACAGUACGUGAAAUUGUCAAAAGGGAAGCGUUUGACACCAGUGUUGUUUUCUCGAAAAUCAAUUAAGAAUGAUUGGAUUUUUGAGGUUGUAUUGACUUUAUCAGGCUUGCUGCACUUUUUUCCUGAAUCUUUUUUAAUGCACUUUUCGGUUAACAAGUCAACAUCAAUUUCUUUUGUUGUAGAAGGAGUCAUUGAGGAAGGUGGCUUUCUUUUCGGAGAAAGUGUUUAUAGCCUUGUGCCUUCUGCAAUCGGAGAGAUUGAGGUCUGCAGCGUAGAUCCUUCGGGGUUAGAUACAGUUUGUGCUAAGUUAUAGCCUUUUCAUAGACAACAUUGUUGACUAUGAUCAGUCAUGUAGCUUACUCGCUUAUGCUAUUUUACCUACGCUUAGGAUGUUGACACACGCGCGUGCUCG
rnacentral:rRNA from 1 species